GGAACCUAAUCGAACGACAUUGUAAAGUGGUAGUUGCAAGCUUUCUGUCCACACCUAUCAUAUAGAUUCUAAUUCAAUAUUCAAUAUGACAAAUUCUAAAGAAGAUGUGUGUGUGUGUGUGUGUGUGUGUGUGUGUGUGUCUAUGCAAGUUAUUCCU
rnacentral:sRNA from 1 species